CCAAUAGCGUAUAUUAAAGUUGCUGCAGUUAAAAAGCUCGUAGUUGAAUUUCGGGACCAAUAUGUCGGUCGUGCCUCGGUACGUACUGGCAUUGUUGGUUUCUCCUUUCUGAAGAACCAUGAUGUCAUUUAUUUGGUGUCGUGGGGAAUCAGGACUGUUACUUUGAAAAAAUUAGAGUGUUUAAAGCAGGCUCACGCUUGAAUACAUUAGCAUGGAAUAAUGAAAUAGGACGUUUGAUUCUAUUUUGUUGGUUUCUAGGAUCGACGUAAUGAUUAAUAGGGAUAGUUGGGGGCAUUAGUAUUCAAUUGUCAGAGGUGAAAUUCUUGGAUUUAUUGAAGACUAACUACUGCGAAAGCAUUUGCCAAGGAUGUUUUCAUUAAUCAAGAACGAAAGUUAGGGGAUCGAAGACGAUCAGAUACCGUCGUAGUCUUAACCAUAAACUAUGCCGACUAGGGAUCGGAUGAUGUUAAUUUUUUAAUGACUCAUUCGGCGCCUUACG
rnacentral:rRNA from 1 species